UACGUAGGGGGCAAGCGUUGUCCGGAUUUAUUGGGCGUAAAGAGCGUGUAGGCGGCUUUACAGGUCCGUUGUGAAAACUCGAGGCUCAACCUCGAGACGCCGGUGGAAACCGUAAAGCUAGAGUCCGGAAGAGGAGAGUGGAAUUCCUGGUGUAGCGGUGAAAUGCGCAGAUAUCAGGAAGAACACCCGUGGCGAAGGCGGCUCUCUGGGACGGUACUGACGCUGAGACGCGAGAGCGUGGGGAGCGAACAGG
rnacentral:rRNA from 1 species